rnacentral:ncRNA from 1 species
GGAAAGGAUUUACGGAACAGUCUACUAGUACGAGAGGACCGGGAUGUACGGAUCACUGGUGUACCGCGGUUGUCGCGCCACGCAAUGCCGGGUAGUUAUAUCCGGAAGGGAUAAGCGCUGAAAGCAUCUAAGCGCGAAGCCCACCUUAAGAUUAGUUUUCC